rnacentral:rRNA from 1 species
GGAUGAACUGAGGGUAGCGGAGAAAUUCCAAUCGAACCUGGAGAUAGCUGGUUCUCUCCGAAAUAGCUUUAGGGCUAGCCUCAAGUGAUGAUUAUUGGAGGUAGAGCACUGUUUGGACGAGGGGCCCUCUCGGGUUACCGAAUUCAGACAAACUCCGAAUGCCAAUUAAUUUAACUUGGGAGUCAGAACAUGGGUGAUAAGGUCCGUGUUCGAAAGGGAAACAGCCCAGACCACCAGCUAAGGUCCCA